CAAGAGUGAACUAUUUUAUUGUAUUUAUUUUCUAAACGGUGUUAAUGCUGUGACGUCAUCAACGGGUGCCAUACUUUUACUCCUCAGUUUGCUCAGAGCGUGACGAGGGGAUACAUGUGUUAUGUAUGCUCUGGUCUUUUGAAUUGCCAUGUUCACAAAUGCACAAGAAAAGACAAGCAAAGGUUAUAUCGUUCUGAUUAGUGUUGCAUUACUGUUUAUAGGAAUAUAUAUUAAUGUGAAUGGGGAUAAUGUUCGAGUGCAACGUUGCAAGGCUAGCCCAGCUACGGUUUGCCUUGUUGCGGGAGAGGGUAUCUUUCAGGUGCAGACAUCGUGAGUUUUUUGAUGAUUUUCUUAUGGGCAUUCUGCGCUGUCUUUUAUCAGUCAAAUAUACUUGUAUGGGAGUCUAGACGGCAGCAUUAACUUUUGCCUUGUAUUUUUUUAUCAAUUUCAUGCAGUCAUUCAAAGAGAGACAACCGGCAUAAUUGUGUCCAGAGCCUUGUCUUCCACCUAUACCUUACCAGAACACAACGCAGAAAGCACCGUCCACAGUUCCACUGCUUCCACGAGGGAACCAACCAAAACCCCUUCAGAUUUCUGCUUACUUCACUUCAAGGUAUUUUGAAGGAGGGUGUUCCCCUAUCUUACCCACAGAUGUUCACACUUCAAGGUGCUAUAUCUUGUCUACUGUUUUCAAAUCUAAUGUUAUUUGUCACACGCACUGAAUACAACAGGUGUAGUAGACCUCACUGUCAAACGCUUACUUACAAGCCCUUAACCAACAAUGCAGUUUUAAGAAAAGAGUUUAAAAAAUAUUUACUAAAUAAAGUAAAAAAAGAAAAAUAACAAACAAUAAUGAGGCUAUAUAUAGGGUGUCUUCUGACACUGGUUAGUUGGUUGGUUAGUUAGUUGGUUGGUUAGUUGGUUGGUUAGUUAGUUAGUUGGUUAGUUAGUAAGAUAAGCAAGACACCCCUAAUCUAUUCCUGUUCCAUGGCAUGGGUCUCAGGGAUGCAGGAGUUGUUUCAGAGUAUGGCUGCAUAUCCCAAAUGGCACCCUAUUCCCUAUAUAGUGCUCUACCUAUUGGCCCUGGUUAAAAGUAGUGCUCAAAAGUAGUGCACUAUAUAGGGAAUAGGGUUCCAUUUGGGACGCAUGUAUGUUAGAGUAUUUCAUGUUUUUUUUAAGCCAAAAAGCGCUGGUUCUACUUUUAAUAAUAAAGAAGCUUUUUCAUUUAAUUCCAUUGACUUCCAAGUGUUGCUGAAUCUCCACUUCAGUUUGCUCCUCAAUUCAUGCACCUUGGUUUGGAAAGCGAGGCAACAGCAGUGAUCCCUUCCCUUUGCACAUCUCAGUGAGGACAAACAUCCACACAGACACAAACAUAUUGCACAUAAUAAUAAUGAUCAACAUUUGAUACAGCGGUGGAGGGAACAACGUUCUGUCCUGCCCUCUACUGGCCAGAGAGGAAAUGAGCUGUUACACUGUUAAAGGUUAUGCAUCAUAGGAAGUGUACGCAAUCAAUGAAUUGCACUACAUUUUGGUUAAAACUCAGUCUGUGACCAUUUUGGUUUGAUAAUCCCCUAAAAUGUCCUUCACACCUCAUAGGCUUUAUUUAGCUCAGCUGUGACCACACCACUGGAGUUGCUAAACAUUUAGCAUCACUCAUUCCUCCUAUGCACAUAUAGGUGAGAGGUCACCAGUAAAGUCUGAAACAUCUCUAAUGGCACCCUAUUCCCUAUAGCUCUAUGGUCUAAACUAAUGCACUGUUAUGGAAUAGGGCGUCAUUUGGGAGGUAUCCUCUGUCUCUGCUUGCUCAUCAUGGG
ensembl:lncRNA